rnacentral:rRNA from 1 species
UACAGAGGUCUCAAGCGUUUGUUCGGAUUCAUUGGGCGUAAAGGGUGUGUAGGUGGCGCGCUAAGUCGGGUGUGAAAUUUCGGAGCUUAACUCCGAAACUGCAUUCGAUACUGGCGUGCUUGAGGACUGGAGAGGAGACUGGAAUUUACGGUGUAGCAGUGAAAUGCGUAGAUAUCGUAAGGAAGACCAGUGGCGAAGGCGGGUCUCUGGACAGUUCCUGACACUGAGACACGAAGGCCCAGGGGAGCAAACGGG